rnacentral:rRNA from 1 species
GACGAACGCUGGCGGCGUGCCUAACACAUGCAAGUCGAACGGAGAUACGAUUUCGGUUGUAUCUUAGUGGCGAACGGGUGAGUAACGCGUGAGCAACCUGACCUUUAGAGGGGGAUAACACUUGGAAACAGGUGCUAAUACCGCAUAAGACCACGACCUGACAUCAGGAUGAGGUCAAAGGAGCAAUCCGCUAAAGGAGGGGCUCGCGUCCCAUUAGAUAGAUGGCGGGGUAACGGCCCACCAUGUCGACGAUGGGUAGCCGAGCUGAGAGGCUGAUCGGCCACACUGGAACUGAGACACGGUCCAGACUCCUACGGGAGGCAGCAGUGGGGAAUAUUGGGCAAUGGGCGCAAGCCUGACCCAGCAACGCCGCGUGAGGGAAGAAGGG